rnacentral:rRNA from 1 species
ACAGUGUCUGGUGGGUAGUUUGACUGGGGCGGUCUCCUCCUAAAGAGUAACGGAGGAGCACGAAGGUUGGCUAAUCCUGGUCGGACAUCAGGAGGUUAGUGCAAUGGCAUAAGCCAGCUUGACUGCGAGCGUGACGGCGCGAGCAGGUGCGAAAGCAGGUCAUAGUGAUCCGGUGGUUCUGAAUGGAAGGGCCAUCGCUCAACGGAUAAAAGGUACUCCGGGGAUAACAGGCUGAUACCGCCCAAGAGUUCAUAUCGACGGCGGUGUUUGGCACCUCGAUGUCGGCUCAUCACAUCCUGGGGCUGAAGUAGGUCCCAAGGGUAUGGCUGUUCGCCAUUUAAAGUGGUACGCGAGCUGGGUUUAGAACGUCGUGAGACAGUUCGGUCCCUAUCUGCCGUGGGCGCUGGAGAACUGAGGGGGGCUGCUCCUAGUACGAGAGGACCGGAGUGGACGCAUCACUGGUGUUCGGGUUG